rnacentral:tRNA from 1 species
GCGGGCGUCGCCAAGCGGUAAGGCAUCAGCCUUCCAAGCUGACAUCGCCGGUUCGAAUCCGGUCGCCCGCUCAA